GAUGAACGCUGGCGGCGUGCCUAAUACAUGCAAGUCGAGCGAACAGACGAGGAGCUUGCUCCUUUGACGUUAGCGGCGGACGGGCGAGUAACACGUGGAUAACCUACCUAUAAGACUGGGAUAACUUCGGGAAACCGGAGCUAAUACCGGAUAACAUGUUGAACCGCAUGGUUCAACAGUGAAAGACGGUCUUGCUGUCACUUAUAGAUGGAUCCGCGCCGCAUUAGCUAGUUGGUAAGGUAACGGCUUACCAAGGCAACGAUGCGUAGCCGACCUGAGAGGGUGAUCGGCCACACUGGAACUGAGACACGGUCCAGACUCCUACGGGAGGCAGCAGUAGGGAAUCUUCCGCAAUGGGCGAAAGCCUGACGGAGCAACGCCGCGUGAGUGAAGAAGGUCUUCGGAUCGUAAAACUCUGUUAUUAGGGAAGAACAAAUGUGUAAGUAACUAUGCACGUCUUGACGGUACCUAAUCAGAAAGCCACGGCUAACUACGUG
rnacentral:rRNA from 1 species